rnacentral:tRNA from 1 species
AGCCUUGUAUUCAUAUUCGUGAUAGUAGAAUGCAAUUCUGAAGGGGUGGGGCGACCACUAAGGCUU